GGGGCCGCGGGCACGCGCGGUCUCCGCGGCCUGCGCUCCGGGCCCGGCGGGCGCGCGCUCCGGUAGCCGCUGAGGCGAGCCGGCCGCCGGGCCCGCAGCCCUCGCCUGCUGGCGCUGGGGAACAGCCGGGAGUAGCCCCUGAGUAGCCCCGCAGCCCUCGUGGAGAGUCGGCCCCCGCGCUCGGGUGCCGAGCUUUGCAGGGGGCGCCGGCCGGAGUUCGCUGCCCUGCCCGUGUGGGCGGGCGUGGGCGUCCUGCUCCGGCGUCGUCUGCAUCGUUAGGGCCCAAGAGCCUUCCUCUCGUAGAGGGGCUAGUGUCCCACAGCGAGACACAGACCCGGAAUCUAGAGGAAACGUGGGGGACGCCAUGGAAAGGGCCAGCUGUCAUAAUCUGCAAAAAUAAGAAAGCGAAUGAAUAAUUUUGGCGAACACAGGAAUUGCCAUCCUGCAUCGGACCCGGGCAUCCGGUUCAGUACCUUGCCUCCAACAGCGACCACAGUCAGAUGCUUCAGGGGAAGGUGUAAGAAUCUUGCUGGGGUUUUCUAUCGUACUUGUCAUCAUAACUGAUUCUUACUUCCCAUGUAAAUUACAUAUGCACUGAGAGUCUGCAUGCACUUUAUUAAUUUUCUGUUGUCCCUGUCAUAAAAGAGGAUUUACUCAGGA